rnacentral:rRNA from 1 species
UACGGAGGGGGUUAGCGUUGUUCGGAAUUACUGGCGUAAAGCGCGCGUAGGCGGAUUAGAAAGUUGGGGGUGAAAUCCCGGGGCUCAACCCCGGAACUGCCUCCAAAACUACUAGUCUAGAGUUCGAGAGAGGUGAGUGGAAUUCCGAGUGUAGAGAUGAAAUUCGUAGAUAUUCGGAGGAACACCAGUGGCGAAGGCGGCUCACUGGCUCGAUACUGACGCUGAGGUGCGAAAGUGUGGGGAGCAAACAGG